rnacentral:rRNA from 1 species
AGCGAACGCUGGCGGCAGGCUUAACACAUGCAAGUCGAGCGGGGCGUAGCAAUACGUCAGCGGCAGACGGGUGAGUAACGCGUGGGAACAUACCUUUUGGUUCGGAACAACACAGGGAAACUUGUGCUAAUACCGGAUAAGCCCUUACGGGGAAAGAUUUAUCGCCGAAAGAUUGGCCCGCGUCUGAUUAGCUAGUUGGUGAGGUAACGGCUCACCAAGGCGACGAUCAGUAGCNGGUCUGAGAGGAUGAUCAGCCACAUUGGGACUGAGACACGGCCCAAACUCCUACGGGAGGCAGCAGUGGGGAAUAUUGGACAAUGGGCGCAAGCCUGAUCCAGCCAUGCCGCGUGAGUGAUGAAGGCCCUAGGGUUGUAAGCUCUUUUGUGGCGGGAAGGAUAAUGACGGUACCGCAAGAAUAAGCCCCGGCCUAACUUCGUGCCAGCCGCCGCCGUAAC